rnacentral:rRNA from 1 species
UACGAAGGGGGCUAGCGUUGCUCGGAAUCACUGGGCGUAAAGGGCGCGUAGGCGGCCGAUCAAGUCAGGGGUGAAAGCCUGUGGCUCAACCACAGAAUGGCCUUUGAUACUGUUCGGCUCGAGACCGGAAGAGGUUGGUGGAACUGCGAGUGUAGAGGUGAAAUUCGUAGAUAUUCGCAAGAACACCAGUGGCGAAGGCGGCCAACUGGUCCGGUUCUGACGCUGAGGCGCGAAAGCCAGGGGAGCAAAGCGGG